CAACUUCGGUUAUAAGAUCCCUCAAAGAUGAUGAGGUUAAUAGGUUCGAGGUGGAAGCGUAGCGAUACGUGGAGCUGACGAAUACUAAUCGAUCGAAGACUUAAUCAAUUU
rnacentral:rRNA from 1 species